UACAGAGGGUGCAAGCGUUAAUCGGAAUUACUGGGCGUAAAGUGUGCGCAGGUGGCCGCGCAAGUCGAGUGUGAAAUCCCCGAGCUUAACUUGGGAAUUGCGCUCGAAACUACGUGGCUCGAGUGUGGCAGAGGAAGGUGGAAUUCCACGUGUAGCGGUGAAAUGCGUAGAUAUCUGGAGGAACACCGGUGGCGAAGGCGAACAUCCUGGACCGGUAGUUGACUGCGUGA
rnacentral:rRNA from 1 species